rnacentral:rRNA from 1 species
GACGAACGCUGGCGGCGUGCUUAACACAUGCAAGUCGAACGCUGAAGCUUGGUGCUUGCACUGGGUGGAUGAGUGGCGAACGGGAGAGUAAUAAGUGAGUAACCUGCCCUUGACUCUGGGAUAAGCCUGGGAAACUGGGUCUAAUACUGGAUACGACAUGUCACCGCAUGGUGGUGUGUGGAAAGGGUUUUACUGGUUUUGGAUGGGCUCACGGCCUAUCAGCUUGUUGGUGGGGUAAUGGCUCACCAAGGCGACGACGGGUAGCCGGCCUGAGAGGGUGACCGGCCACACUGGGACUGAGACACGGCCCAGACUCCUACGGGAGGCAGCAGUGGGGAAUAUUGCACAAUGGGCGGAAGCCUGAUGCAGCGACGCCGCGUGAGGGAUGACGGCCUUCGGGUUGUAAACCUCUUUCAGCACGGAAGAAGCGAAAGUGACGGUACGUGCAGAAGAAGCGCCGGCUAACUACGUG